UUCAUCAUACGGUCAUGGGGGACCGCCGCUACCUCGCUUUCACUUGGUACCGAUUUCCCAUAAUCCAUGUGAUGUGACGUAGUGGUACCUUCCCUUGGCUAUUACAACACUUCCU
rnacentral:pre_miRNA from 1 species